rfam:Lupinus angustifolius cultivar Tanjil chromosome LG03, whole genome shotgun sequence.
AGGUGCGAUCAUACCAGCACUAAUGCACCGGAUCUCAUCAUUACUCAAUAGUUAAGCGUGCUUGGACGAGAGUAGUAAUAGGAUGGGUGAUCUCAUGGGAAUUUCUCGUGUUGCACCUC